GCUGGAAUAGCACAGUUGGUUAUAGCGCGUGGCUGUUAAUCACAAGGUCGAACGUUCAAGCCCUUCUUCUAGCG
rfam:Cajanus cajan chromosome 2, whole genome shotgun sequence.